AUGACUUUUCAAUUUGUCUGUUGCCUAAUUUAUUUAUUUUCACCUUAAUUAUUAUGACUUAGUUUAAUUUUUUUUUAUUUUGAGUUCCUCAAUUUGUUUGCUAUUAAUUUAAAUCUGACUAGAUUCUAUGUUUCUAAUUUCACACAACAAUGAAAUUAUGAUUCAAAGACAUGUUGUGUAUGAUGUGAGAUAUUGUACACUAUAUUUUCUUCGAUCCAGCCGAAGUUCUUCCCCACAAGAUGGAGAAGAUCCCGUAUAUGCUUGAAGAAGAUUUGGCUUUUCCUCCCUUGGAAGUGGCGCCAUGAGAAAAGUUCUGUCGCUCAGCAAAAUUCUAUAUCUCCACCAAGCGUGCCGUAAGGAACUUCGUUCCAAAAAAAACAUAUGAAAAUUUGGUAAUGUUUUUUGUACAUUUCAAAUUCGUUUGUCAUACCUAUGUUUCCGUCGUGACUCCAAAGCUAAUGACUUCUUAAGCUCAUUAAAAAAUCGAUCUCUAAUAAACCGGUAAAAAUAAAUUCUCUGAAACAAA